GUAGAACGCUGAAGACUUUAGCUUGCUAAAGUUGGAAGAGUUGCGAACGGGUGAGUAACGCGUAGGUAACCUGCCUACUAGCGGGGGAUAACUAUUGGAAACGAUAGCUAAUACCGCAUAACAGCAUUUAACCCAUGUUAGAUGCUUGAAAGGAGCAAUUGCUUCACUAGUAGAUGGACCUGCGUUGUAUUAGCUAGUUGGUGAGGUAACGGCUCACCAAGGCGACGAUACAUAGCCGACCUGAGAGGGUGAUCGGCCACACUGGGACUGAGACACGGCCCAGACUCCUACGGGAGGCAGCAGUAGGGAAUCUUCGGCAAUGGGGGCAACCCUGACCGAGCAACGCCGCGUGAGUGAAGAAGGUUUUCGGAUCGUAAAGCUCUGUUGUAAGAGAAGAACGUGUGUGAGAGUGGAAAGUUCACACAGUGACGGUAACUUACCAGAAAGGGACGGCUAACUACGUGCCAGCAGCCGCGGUAAUACGUAGGUCCCGAGCGUUGUCCGGAUUUAUUGGGCGUAAAGCGAGCGCAGGCGGUUUAAUAAGUCUGAAGUUAAAGGCAGUGGCUUAACCAUUGUUCGCUUUGGAAACUGUUAGACUUGAGUGCAGAAG
rnacentral:rRNA from 1 species